UACGUAGGGUGCAAGCGUUAAUCGGAAUUACUGGGCGUAAAGCGUGCGCAGGCGGUUAUGUAAGACAGGUGUGAAAUCCCCGGGCUUAACCUGGGAACUGCAUUUGUGACUGCAUAGCUAGAGUACGGCAGAGGGGGAUGGAAUUCCGCGUGUAGCAGUGAAAUGCGUAGAUAUGCGGAGGAACACCGAUGGCGAAGGCAAUCCCCUGGGCCUGCACUGACGCUCAUGCACGAAAGCGUGGGGAGCAAACAGG
rnacentral:rRNA from 1 species